CCUACGGGUGGCAGCAGUGAGGAAUAUUGGUCAAUGGGCGAGAGCCUGAACCAGCCAAGUCGCGUGAAGGAUGAAGGAUCUAUGGUUUGUAAACUUCUUUUAUAUGGGAAUAAAGUGAGGAACGUGUUCCUUUUUGUAUGUACCAUAUGAAUAAGCAUCGGCUAACUCCGUGCCAGCAGCCGCGGUAAUACGGAGGAUGCGAGCGUUAUCCGGAUUUAUUGGGUUUAAAGGGUGCGUAGGUGGUUAAUUAAGUCAGCGGUGAAAGUUUGUGGCUCAACCAUAAACUUGCCGUUGAAACUGGCUGAGUAGAGAAGAUGUGAGGUAGGCGGAAUGAGUGGUGUAGCGGUGAAAUGCAUAGAUAUCACGCAGAACUCCGAUUGCGAAGGCAGCUUACUAAACUAUAACUGACACUGAGGCACGAAAGCGUGGGGAUCGAACAGGAUUAGAUACCCUAGUAGUC
rnacentral:rRNA from 1 species